UACGUAGGGUGCAAGCGUUGCUCGGAAUUACUGGGCGUAAAGCGUGCGCAGGCGGUCUUGUAAGCCAGAUGUGAAAUCCCCGGGCUUAACCUGGGAAUGGCAUUUGGGACUGCAAGGCUGGAGUGCGGCAGAGGAGACUGGAAUUCCUGGUGUAGCAGUGAAAUGCGUAGAUAUCGAGAGGAACACCAGUGGCGAAGGCGAGUCUCUGGACAUUUCCUGACGCUGAGGCACGAAAGCCAGGGGAGCAAACGGG
rnacentral:rRNA from 1 species